rnacentral:rRNA from 1 species
UACCUUCAUCAGGGGGAUAGCCCGGAGAAAUCCGGAUUAACACCGCAUGAAAUCACAGUACGGCAUCGUACAAUGAUCAAACAUUUAUGGGAUGGAGAUGGGCAUGCGUGUCAUUAGUUAGUUGGCGGGGUAACGGCCCACCAAGACCGCGAUGACUAGGGGAUCUGAGAGGAUGACCCCCCACACUGGUACUGAGACACGGACCAGACUCCUACGGGAGGCAGCAGUAAGGAAUAUUGGUCAAUGGGCGAGAGCCUGAACCAGCCAUGCCGCGUGCAGGAAGAC